AGGCGGUUCAGCUCUGCCACCAAUCACGUGGAUCAGACUGAAGUUCACGUUUACAGCUCUCUGCUGCAUGGCACCACUUCUCUGUAUGAGACAGUCCAUCCACGUGGAGCCACUAGAAAUGAGAGACGUCAUCCAGAGGAAGAUUCUGUUUACGUUAACGUGCAACCGGGACGUUGAAGCUCCGCAUGACG